rnacentral:rRNA from 1 species
UACGUAGGCAGCAAGCGUUGUUCGGAGUUACUGGGCGUAAAGGGUGUGUAGGCGGUCUUUUAAGUCUGGUGUGAAAUCUCCCGGCUCAACUGGGAGGGUGCGCCGAAAACUGGAAGGCUAGAGUGCGGGAUGGGAGAGUGGAAUUCCUGGUGUAGCGGUGAAAUGCGUAGAUAUCAGGAGGAACACCUGUGGUGUAGACGGCUCUCUGGACCGCAACUGACGCUGAGACACGAAAGCGUGGGUAGCAAACAGG